rnacentral:rRNA from 1 species
ACAAGUAGUCAGAGCACGUUAAAGUGUGAUGGCGUACAUCUUGCAGUAUGGGCCGGCGAGUUAUGUUAAAAUAUGCAAGGUUAAGCAGAAAAAAGCGGAGCCGUAGGGAAACCGAGUCUGAAUAGGGCGACUUUAGUAUAUUGGCAUAUACCCGAAACCAGGUGAUCUAUCCAUGAGCAGGUUGAAGCUUAGGUAAAACUAAGUGGAGGACCGAACCGUAGUACGCUAAAAAGUGCCCGGAUGACUUGUGGAUAGCGGUGAAAUUCCAAUCGAACCUGGAGAUAGCUGGUUCUCUUCGAAAUAGCUUUAGGGCUAGCGUAUAGUAUUGUUUAAUGGGGGUAGAGCACUGAAUGUGGAAUGGCGGCAUCUAGCUGUACUGACUAUAAUCAAACUCCGAAUACCAUUAAAAUUAAGCUAUGCAGUCGGAACGUGGGUGAUAACGUCCACGCUCGCGAGGGAAACAACCC